rnacentral:sRNA from 1 species
CCAUAUAAUUUAAAAUCAAACGGAUGUCACCCAUGGAAUUAUUUCUGGUCUAGUUAUAGUAUUACUCAGUUCAUUUUGCAAUGGCUAACACUUGCACUACUUUUCUCUCAGUGCCCUGAUCAUAGUUCGUGUCGGCUUGAGUGUUUAACUACUUUGAAGAGCAUUGCAAGAUUUACAGUUUGAUCAGUCGGCCCGCUCUCUUGGUGUUUCCUUAAUUGUACUCACCAACAGGUGACACCCGGCUGUAUUUGGUUGCACUUAUUUUGUAUUUAUCACUGGAACAGAAGCUCAAAGCCACUGCAAAAAAUUAGCUGUUGCAUUGAAAUGUACACAUAAAAAAAAUAAAAGGUAACAACAAUGGUCAAUGCGGCAAACAAAACCGAAAUUA